UGCAUAUACACAAUUUACUUACCUUAUAUACGAUCGUUUAACACAUUUGUAUGGAAAUUUUCAGACAAUUACUCAAAAUUCGAACGCCCUCAGUAAAAUUAUAAAGGCGUAUAAACAAUAAGUAUAUAUAUAUAUAUAUUAUGAUGGAAAAUAUUAUUUGUUAAUUAAUAUUUUACUGAGAAAUAUUUAUACAUUAAAACAAAGCGUUUAUGUAAAAAAAAAAGAUCACAUUUAUACUUAUCAAUUUUAAAAAAUAAUUCAUUUAUUGUUUUGUGCUUUUAAAUAUUUAUAUACAAAUACGUAUAUGUAUAUAUUGUUUCCAUUAAAAACUGUACAUAAAAAAAAAAAAAAUAUAUAUAUAUAUAUACAUAUAUAUAUAUAUAUAUAUAUAUAUAUAUGUGUAUUGUGUAUAUAUGUAUCCAUGUAUAUAUAUGCUCAUAUUUACAGUGUUGUAAAGAGAAAAAAACAACACUAUGUUUAUUAAAUUGUUUAAUUACUUUUAUUAAAAUUUGAUAAAUGUUAAAUAUAGCAUGAUUUAAUAUAGCAUUGUGUUAAGGUGUUAAUUUUAUAUAUACACAUUUAAACAUAUACUUAUACAUAUAUAUAAGCAAAUACUCAAGUGUGUGUGUUUUAAAACAUUUUUGUUUUAUUAACUUUUGUUAAUGUAGGCACUUUUCAUAUUUUUCUUACUUUUGUGCAUUCUCGUACUGUAAUUAACGUUUUGAUCUUUUUAAACCAUCAUUUUUUUAAAUAAGUUGCAAAUAACAACAUGUUGGAUUCAGAUAAUGAAGUACCUGAGCAAAUCUUGAUAGAGUACGGUAGAUUAUUAAGGAUAAGCCAGACAGAGAAUUACGAUGAGAUAAAAAAAACAGAUCUAUUAAAAAUAAUAGGGAAGGAUAAUUAUGGUAACCAUAUUGUUUUACUUAUUCCUUGUUUUAUAGUUACAUCCGGUGCUGACCCUGAAAAGUUAUUGUAAGUUUUAUGUUUGCAUCUUCUUUUUAAUACAUAAAAAUACUUAUGCUAUGUAAAACAAACGAAUUUAGACAUUCACUAAAGCGGAAAAGUUGUUAACACAUUUUUUUUGACAUUUUUUUUGACAUUUUUAUAACAUUUUUAUAAUAUUUUCUGAACAUUUUUUUUUUAAUUUUU
rnacentral:lncRNA from 1 species